CUUUAACUCUUUCUUUAGGCCUAACACAUGCAAGUCGAACGGCAGCACAGUAAGAGCUUGCUCUUACGGGUGGCGAGUGGCGGACGGGUGAGGAAUACAUCGGAAUCUACUUUUUCGUGGGGGAUAACGUAGGGAAACUUACGCUAAUACCGCAUACGACCUACGGGUGAAAGCAGGGGAUCUUCGGACCUUGCGCGAUUGAAUGAGCCGAUGUCGGAUUAGCUAGUUGGCGGGGUAAAGGCCCACCAAGGCGACGAUCCGUAGCUGGUCUGAGAGGAUGAUCAGCCACACUGGAACUGAGACACGGUCCAGACUCCUACGGGAGGCAGCAGUGGGGAAUAUUGGACAAUGGGCGCAAGCCUGAUCCAGCCAUACCGCGUGGGUGAAGAAGGCCUUCGGGUUGUAAAGCCCUUUUGUUGGGAAAGAAAAGCAGCAGGUUAAUACCCCGCUGUUCUGACGGUACCCAAAGAAUAAGCACCGGCUAACUUCGUG
rnacentral:rRNA from 1 species